rnacentral:rRNA from 1 species
CGCGUAGGUGGUUCUGUAUGUCUACCGUGAAAGCAUACAGCUCAACUGUAUUUUGUCGGUAGAAACUGCAGGACUUGAGGCUGGGAGGGGCUGGUGGAAUUCCCUGUGUAGCGGUGAAAUGCGUAGAGAUGGGGGGAGAACACUCGUGGCGAAGGCGGCCAGCUAGACCAGUUCUGACACUGAGGCGCGACAGCGUGGGGAGCAAACA